UUUGACCAUAUUUUGUCCAUUUUAAUUUUGCAUUUAUUUUAAUUUCAAAAACACCAAAAAAAUAUGUUUGACUUGUUGACUUCUAAUCUUCAUUUCUCUUCUGUUUUACAUUGGUUGAUGAUGAUUUGAUUCACAUUUGAUCAUUGUGUUUUGAUUAUUUCUUUUGAAUUCUUCUUUUAUUCAUUUCAUCUUCAUCUCUCUUCUUCUAUUUAU
rnacentral:lncRNA from 1 species